rnacentral:rRNA from 1 species
CCUACGGGAGGCAGCAGUGGGGAAUAUUGGGCAAUGGAGGCAACUCUGACCCAGCAACGCCGCGUGAAUGAUGAAGGUCUUCGGAUUGUAAAGUUCUGUGAUGGGGGAUGAACACAAUGACGGUACCCCAAUAGCAAGCCACGGCUAACUACGUGCCAGCAGCCGCGGUAAUACGGCGGUGGCAAGCGUUAUCCGGAAUGACUGGGCGUAAGGGGUGCGUAGGUGGUUUAGUAAGUUGGCGGUGUAAUUCCGGGGCUCAACCUCGGCGCUACCGCCAAAACUAUUAGACUAGAGUGCAGGAGGGGUAAGCGGAAUGCCUAGUGUAGCGGUGGAAUGCGUAGAUAUUAGGAGGAACAUCAGGGGCGAAGGCGACUUACCGGACUGUAACUGACACUGAGGCACGAAAGCGUGGGGAGCAAACAGGAUUAGAUACCCGAGUAGUC